CUGGAUUUCUUAAUGAAAGCUUAGUGCUUUAUGGAUCUCAGCAAUUUUCACCUCUGAGAAUCAUGAUCUUCUUAGAGAAGUGUUUUUCAAGCCCUUGAACCUACUGCCAUGAUUCAUGCAAACUUAAAAGGUCAGAGUGCAAUAACUUCACUGCUCCUUCUACAACUGUGUCAUGACUUGAGAGAGGUUCAUCAUGACAUUAACAGUAGUUCCUGGCAUCUUACUCUUGUAAUGGACUACUUCUGAAAGGAAGA